rnacentral:rRNA from 1 species
AUACGAAGGGUGCAAGCGUUGUUCGGAUUUACUGGGCGUAAAGCGUCCGUAGGUGGUUUGUUAAGUCAGGGGUGAAAUCCCGGGGCCUAACCCCGGAACUGCCUUUGAUACUGGCAGGCUGGAGCGCGAUAGAGGAAGAUGGAAUAUCUGGUGUAGUGGUGAAAUCCGUUGAUAUCAGAGAGAACACCAAUGGCGAAGGCAGUCUUCUUGAUCGUAGGUGACACUGAGGGACUAUAGCAGUGGUAACAAACAGAAUUAAGUACUCUCGUAUUACACGCCAUAAACAAAGGAUGCUUGUUGUUGGUUUCCAGCGGGGCACCAGUGUCAAAGCUAACACGUUAAGCGUGCCGCCUGGGGACUAAGAUCGCACAAGUAAAACUCAAAAGAAUUGACAGGG